rnacentral:rRNA from 1 species
UGAGCUAACGCGUAAGCGAGGCAGCGACCUAAGGUAGGGUCAGCGAUUGGGGUGAAGUCGUAACAAGGUAGCCGUAGGAGAACCUGCGGCUGGAUCACCUCCUUU